GAUGAAGAACGUAGCGAAAUGCGAUAAGUAAUGUGAAUUGCAGAAUUCAGUGAAUCAUCGAAUCUUUGAACGCACAUUGCGCCCGCCAGUAUUCUGGCGGGCAUGCCUGUUCGAGCGUCAUUUCAACCAUCAAGCCCCCGGCUUGUGUUGGGGACCUGCGGCUGCCGCAGGCCCUGAAAAGCAGUGGCGGGUUCGCUGUCACACCGAGCGUAGUAGCAUACAUCUCGCUCUGGGCGUGCUGCGGGUUCCGGCCGUUAAACCACCUUCAUAACCCAAGGUUGACCUCGGAUCAGGUAGGAAGACCCGCUGAACUUAAGCAUAUCAAUAAGCGGAGGA
rnacentral:misc_RNA from 1 species